UACGGGGGGAGCAAGCGUUGUUCGGAUUUACUGGGCGUAAAGGGCGCGUAGGCGGCGCAACAAGUCAGGCGUGAAAGCCCCGGGCUCAACCUGGGAGGUGCGCUUGGGACUGUUGUGCUUGAGUUCGGGAGAGGAGAGUGGAAUUCCCAGUGUAGAGGUGAAAUCCGUAGAUAUUGGGAAGAACACCGGUGGCGAAGGCGGCUCUCUGGACCGAGACUGACGCUGAGGCGCGAAAGCGUGGGGAGCAAACAGG
rnacentral:rRNA from 1 species